CACUCUCACAUCUCUUUUGGAUGUUAGUUGCCAAAGAAUUUCUGGGUGUUCAUUAUAACAUUAUUUGUAGGAUUGGAAAUUGGUGGUGGAUGUACAAGCCAAGUUGGCUUUUCCACUUGCUGAUACUUCAAAACUGUAUGUCUUCAAACUCAUUUAGGAUCACAGGCCAGAAUACCAAGUUUUAAGGGAAAUGUUCUUUUCUGCCAACUCUUAAUUUCUCUCAGCCUUAGAAAGUUCUUCAAUUCCAACCUUUCCAUAUUGUAUAACAUACCAGUGGCUCUUGCCCAUGAAACCUCCAUGUUAUUCAAGCAUUAAAUCCUUCAUCAUCUAUUGGAGGACUCCAGAAAUGUCAAACAUGGGAAAUAGGCUCCACAAGCUAUAACUACCUUCAUGCAAUGGAUUAGAAUGUGAUUGGCUAAUUCCUCUAUGAAUUUGCAUAGACAACACUAUGCACUAUGAUCAAAGGAGCCAGUAUUGGAUCAUCUUUUGAAAAAGAGAUGUUUGCUUUACUUGAGGGUUUAACAAUUGCAAAAGGGUUUGGUGUCUCCAAUAUCUCGGUGGAGGAGGAUGUGGUGACAGGGGUAUCUUAGGUGGCCUGUGGUUGGAGAGAAUCAUGAAUAUAUGAUCAUUGUAUGCAUAAUAUUGUGGUCCUCACUAGGG
rnacentral:lncRNA from 1 species